rnacentral:snoRNA from 1 species
AAGCUAUGAAGAUUUUAUAGUUCAGCUUACCCCAGCGGAUUGAUGAUAAAUUUCGCCCCUAUCUGAGCUUU